rnacentral:tRNA from 1 species
UAGCUGUGGCUUAGUGGCAGAGCAUCUGCUUGGCUUGCAGAAAGUCCCACGUUCAGUCUGUGGUGGCAGAU